GAUGAACGCUGGCGGCGUACUUAACACAUGCAAGUCGAACGAAGCACUUUAUUUGAUUUCCUUCGGGGCUGAUUAUUUUGUGACUGAGUGGCGGACGGGUGAGUAACGCGUGGGUAACCUGCCUUGUACAGGGGGAUAACAGUUGGAAACGGCUGCUAAUACCGCAUAAGCGCACAGCAUCGCAUGAUGCAGUGUGAAAAACUCCGGUGGUAUAAGAUGGACCCGCGUUGGAUUAGCUAGUUGGUGAGGUAACGGCCCACCAAGGCGACGAUCCAUAGCCGACAUGAGAGGGUGACCGGCCACAGUGGGACUGAGACACGGCCCAAACUCCUACGGGAGGCAGGAGUGGGGAAUAUUGCACAAUGGGCGAAAGCCUGAUGCAGCGACGCCGCGUGAGCGAAGAAGUAUUUCGGUAUGUAAAGCUCUAUCAGCAGGGAAGAUAAUGACGGUACCUGACGAAGAAGCACCGGCUAAAUACGUG
rnacentral:rRNA from 1 species